rnacentral:tRNA from 1 species
GCCUGGGUGGCUCAGCCAGUUGGGCAUCUGACUUCCGCUCAGGUCAUGGUCUCUCAGUUUGUGAGUUCGAGCCCCACGUCGGGCU